ACUUUGUCAAUUGAUGCAUGUUGAAUCUUCAGAGUGUGUUGACUAAAAAGUAGGUCACCGUGACCUAUUUUUGGAUUUUGACGGCUAUAUUUGAAUAUUUCAGAUACUAUUUGACUUACAAUCAUCAAACUUCGUCAGUUAAUGGGUCUUGAGUUUUCAGAGUGUGUCGACCAAAAAGUAGGUCACUGUGACCUACUUUUGGACAGUUACAUUUAAAUUUUCAGGUACUAUUUGACUCAACAUCAUCAAACUUUGUUAAUUGAUGAAUCUUGGUUAGUGAGAAUUUUUGCCUGUUCUACAAUGUAUCAGAAGAGCGAUUCUAGGCCCAUGGGCCUCUUAUUAGACAUAUCUUAUCGCAUGUGUUUUGGUUGUCGAAAAUAUUGAUAAAACUUGAUAAUGAAUUGCUGAUACUAAAUACAUCCUGAUUCUGAUGUAAAGAAAUCAAGCGCUAGUUAAUAUUUUUAUACAUUAUUACUUCAUGACCAUAUAUUGCUUGUGCCAGUCUUUGCGCUUAAUGAUUUUUACGACAAGCCCAUUGGGCAAGUAAAAGUGCAAAAUUUGGUAGCCCAAAUAAAAUUUUACUAGCUCAAUGCUAUGCAAGAAUGAUUUUAACAUGAUUCGAAAUUUCAAGUUUCAACAUUUUUAUUAAGCAUUACAAUGCAAGUUUAAGACGAGAGUUCAAGCCCUAGCUCUUUCAAUUUCUAAUUCCACCAUUUCAGUCAGAUUCUUCGGUCAUUAGUAAUUAACUAAUGCUCAUACAUUCUGAAUGUCUGAUGCAGCUGCUUGUGGUUUUUUUAACUUUUGGGUGAAAUGCUUAUGUGAGUUUACUCAGGUGACCUAUUGCAAUUGGUUGCAUGUUGUCUGUCAUCAAGAGUUAACAAUUGAACAUUUUUAACUUUUUCUUGAUAACUACCUGUCCAAUUCUUUUCAUAUUUGGCAUGAAGCAUCUUUGGGACAAAGGUAACAUAAAUUGUAAAUUUCAGGACUCCAGCACCCCUGGGGCCCUAGGGGCGGGGCAAAAACUGCCCAAUUUUCAAAAAUCUUCUUCUCAAGAACCGCAUAUGUGUAAGAAAAACUAAAUGCAUAGUGAUAUAGAGCAGGAAGGCCUCUACCAAAAUUGUAACUUUCAUGAUCUCCGGGGUAGGGGUUCUGACCCCAGGACGGCGCCAAACUUGGUAUAUAGUGUUUAUAUGUAAAACACUUAAACAAUAUAUUCUUUAGUGCUGUUGAUACUAAAUUGAAACUAAAUAGAUAUUUCGAAAGAACAGGUAGUCCUUUACCAAAAUUAUGAAUUUGAUGAUUCCAGGGUUAGGUUUUGGUAUCAGGGUGGGGCCAAAAUGGUCAGUAAUUAAAUGUCUAACAAUAGACAUUUUUAACUUCUUGAUAACUAUCAUUCCAAUUCUUUUCAAAUUUGGUAUGAAGCAUCUUUGGAAGAAGUGGACAUAAAUUAUAAAUUUUAGGAUUCCUGGGGCCUUGGGGCGGGGCAAAAACUGCCCAAAAUUGACCAAUUUUCAAAAAUCUUCUUCUCAAGAACCACACAUGUGUAAGAAAAACUAAAUGGAUAGUGAUGUAAAGCAGGAAGGCCUCUACCAAAGUUGUAAAGAACAUGACCCACGAACCAUGAAAAAUGGCCUAGCCUGGGAAAUUGAUAAUUUCUGUAUAUAAUAAUCUUCGGGAUAUAGGCUUUCUAGAAAUGUUUUUCUUUUUUUCAUAUAUUCUAUACUUUUUUGUUAAUAUGACGUUGAAUAUUGUGGUAUUUAAUGUUAAAAAAUUAACAUUUCGGGAUACACGUCACAACAAUAAACCUCCAAUGACCAUGUACAAUGUACAUGAACCUAUAAAUCUCUGAAUUUAUCAAGUUAUAUGCACUCAAAUAGCUAGAAUGGCUUAUUCAAUGAUCAUAAUAAGCAUUUUUGACCAAAUUUGGGAAAUAGAAAUAAGAAAUAUUUUGGAAAUGAUGUUCAAAGCCGUGAUUGUUCAACUUUACUUUUAAAUUAUUUUUACUUGAAUUUUAAAAUACUGAAAUAAGAAGAAUAAAUAUAGUAUGUAGUUUAUUUACAUGGUGAAAGAAGUGAAUCAUUGGAACAAUUCUGUUUCAUAUCAUAUUCCAUAGUUUUGGGGUUUUUUGUUUUCUUUCUUAUUUUUUUUUUUUUUAGUAUUAAAACGACCGAGUAUCGAAAGCAAUGGUAACGAAAUAAGUUGACACCGCGUCUCGUCAAAACAUGUUCAAUUCGAAUUUACUCGGAAUUACACGUUCAACGAGCAUUUGCUGUGAAACCUGAUUAAAGGAAAAUUACUGUAGACACCUAAUAGUGAUUUGUACAGAAGCGAGCCCCGGCAGGAAUGAUGGCCUCUUUUGAAAUGAAGAUUUCAUGCCUUACUCCUACUGGGACUACAACUAACUUUGGACCUGGUCACUCGCAGAUACAGCAUGAAGUGUGCCCUCUUGAUGUACAUGGGGAUGGGAGUGAUACAGAAGGGGGACUAAUUGGAAGAACUGCUGCUGGUGGUGGUGGUGCUGGACUGUCUUGAAUCUGUUGCCUAACCGACUUGAUAUUCUUCUGUUUAAUAUGGGAGCAACACACACACUCUGGCAUAUAUUGCACAGAAAAUCAUGAUCAGAUGGUGCCCUCCCUAUCAGAGUGGUGAUCACUGACCUAUAUUUCUUUGAAAUCCUGGAUCUGUGUUUUGGUUUUACUCUCCAUGGACAGUUGAAACAGAGAAAGAAUUAGGGACCACUCCUUGGCAUAUCUGAAAUAUUUAUGUCAUAUACAUGUAAUUAAAAUAUACAAUUUGGGUUGGAUGAAAAUCUUAUCUUCAUGUUAAAACCCAUUAGCCUAGGUUAUUUUUCCUAAAAUCUAAUUAUAAAUCAAUUAACUUGUUAAUUAAUGCUUGGUGAAUCAAUUAAUAAAUUGUAUUCAAGAACUUGGAAUUAUUUUUUUUCCCACUAAUAAACUGAAAAUGUGUAUCUUCAAA